AACGAACGCUGGCGGCAUGCCUAACACAUGCAAGUCGAACGAGACCUUCGGGUCUAGUGGCGCACGGGUGCGUAACGCGUGGGAACCUGCCCUUAGGCUCGGAAUAACUCCCCGAAAGGGGUGCUAAUACCGGAUAAUGUCUUCGGACCAAAGAUUUAUCGCCUUUGGAUGGGCCCGCGUUGGAUUAGCUAGUUGGUAGGGUAAAAGCCUACCAAGGCGACGAUCCAUAGCUGGUCUGAGAGGAUGAUCAGCCACACUGGGACUGAGACACGGCCCAGACUCCUACGGGAGGCAGCAGUGGGGAAUAUUGGACAAGGGGCGAAAGCCUGAUCCAGCAAUGCCGCGUGAGUGAUGAAGGCCUUAGGGUUGUAAAGCUCUUUUACCCGGGAUGAUAAUGACAGUACCGGGAGAAUAAGCACCGGCUAACUCCGUG
rnacentral:rRNA from 1 species